rnacentral:rRNA from 1 species
AUUGAACGCUGGCGGCAUGCUUUACACAUGCAAGUCGAACAGUAACAGGCCUUCGGGUGCUGACGAGUGGCGAACGGGUGAGUAAUGCAUCGGAACGUGCCCAAUCGUGGGGGAUAACGUAGCGAAAGUUACGCUAAUACCGCAUAAGCCCUGAGAGGGAAAGUGGGGGACCGCAAGGCCUCACGCGAAUGGAGCGGCCGAUGUCAGAUUAGCUAGUUGGUGGGGUAAAGGCGUCACCAAGGCGACGAUCUGUAGCGGGUCUGAGAGGAUGAUCCGCCACACUGGGACUGAGACACGGCCCAGACUCCUACGGGAGGCAGCAGUGGGGAAUUUUGGACAAUGGGCGCAAGCCUGAUCCAGCCAUGCCGCGUGCGGGACGAAGGCCUCGG